rnacentral:lncRNA from 1 species
CAAACUCCCCAAAUCAUGGGAUUUCUUGAUGAUAAUUGUCUGAAGGCCAAGUUGACGGUCAAGAUUUGGUUCAAAUGGUUUAUUCAGUUCGGAGUUCAUCCUUUCAACCAGUAUCUACUCGGUCGUCAUGGAAACAGCCAAGAUGCUGGGUACAACAAGGGAAAGUGAGAGAAGAGCCGGUUUUCUUCAAAAGCUUGGGAUUCUGUGCUUCUUUCCUUUUUACAAAUGCAAUUUAGACAUUUGGACCUGCUGGCUGCUGAAAAUGUUCCCAUCUUUCACACCACUCACUACCAGCACUGGUCACAGAUAAAUAUUUUUAAUAGCUUAAAUAGGAAGUUGGUUUCUUUUUUUAAAACAAAUGAAAUAAUUCAAAUGAUGCUUAAUAGGAUUUAAGAGGUCCACAGAAAUUAAAAACAAAUCAUUGACAUUUAGAGGAG